AUUGAACGCUGGCGGCAUGCCUUACACAUGCAAGUCGAACGGCAGCACGGGAGCAAUCCUGGUGGCGAGUGGCGAACGGGUGAGUAAUGUAUUGGAACGUGCCCAGUCGUGGGGGAUAACGUAGCGAAAGCUACGCUAAUACCGCAUACGAUCUAUGGAUGAAAGCGGGGGAUCGCAAGACCUCGCGCGAUUGGAGCGACCGAUAUCAGAUUAGGUAGUUGGUGGGGUAAAGGCUCACCAAGCCGACGAUCUGUAGCUGGUCUGAGAGGACGACCAGCCACACUGGGACUGAGACACGGCCCAGACUCCUACGGGAGGCAGCAGUGGGGAAUUUUGGACAUUGGGCGCAAGCCUGAUUCAGCAAUGCCGCGUGCAGGAUGAAGGCCUUCGGGUUGUAAACUGCUUUUGUACGGAACGAAACGGCGAGCUCUAAUACAGUUUGCUAAUAACGGUACCGUAAGAAUAAGCACCGGCUAACUACGUGCCAGUCGCCGCGGUAA
rnacentral:rRNA from 1 species